rnacentral:lncRNA from 1 species
GAGAGGCCUGAAGCGCAGCCUUGGCUUCCUCUUAACAAACACACGCAAUACACAUAACCAUAUAGAAGCAUAUAGAAACGAUGAGAAGAGGGGGAAAAACAACACAUAUACACGAGAAGGGAGCUGGGCUUCUUGAGGAGAAUACACUACAGAAAGAUACACAUAGAGACGCUAGGAGAAAGGGGCUGCGCAGCUGGCGGCUUCUUCUUCACAAAAAAACACACCUAUACAUAUAAUACACAUACAUAUACACAGAGAACAUAGAGAGAGGUCGGGGAAUAAUUGAGCGCAGCUGAUAGCUUUUACUAGAGAUCUCUCCCUCACGAUCUCUUUUCUUCUUCAAUCAGAACGAGCCCUGCUUUGGAUCUCAUUUGCAAAUAUACUGCACCAAGUUCGUUUCUUCAUUUUAGUUUGUGAGAUCGUCGUUCGAGUUUUAUUUUGGUAGAGUUCCUAGGUUCCGACGAGGUCGCCGAUGAGGUUCUGUUCAACGUCUAAUCUGUCAGAUCUAAGAUCCUCGUUGAUUCAAACCAAUCUCACAACCUAAAUAUUCAGCAAGAAAGGUUUUUCCUCCAUCUAAAUACUCCAGAUGCAGUAUUAUGUUUGUUCCAGUGAUUUUAUUCAAAUUGAAUGCCCGUUUGUUCUUUUUUUAUUUAGCCUCUUUGAUGUUUUUCCUUGUUUUGAAUAUUUUGUUCAUUUGCACUUUAGUUUUGAAUGCUUAAACUACGAAUUUUGCCGAACUUUUCA